AACGCAUGUCACAGAGGCUGGAAAAGCACAUCACGAGACAUGUGCUCGAAGACAGACAAAGCCAAGGAGGGAAACAGCGGAAAAGAGAUCCAGCACUGUUACAGAUAAUGGGACAAAGAAAACCUUCUGGAAAUAAGCAGAUAUCAGAGAAAGUUCAAGACAGAAAGAGAC